GCCCGGAUGGUGAAAUUGGUAGACACAGCGGACUUAAAAUCCGUCGCCGUUGAAGGACGGCAUACCGGUUCGACCCCGGUUCCGGGCACCA
rnacentral:tRNA from 1 species